rnacentral:rRNA from 1 species
GGCGCAACCCUUGUCCUUAGUUACCAGCACGUUAUGGUGGGCACUCUAAGGAGACUGCCGGUGACAACCGGAGGAAGGUGGGGAUGACGUCAAGUCAUCAUGGCCCUUACGGCCUGGGCUACACACGUGCUACAAUGGUCGGUACAAAGGGUUGCCAAGCCGCGAGGUGGAGCUAAUCCCAUAAAACCGAUCGUAGUUCGGAUCGCAGUCUGCAACUCGACUGCGUGAAGUCGGAAUCGCUAGUAAUCGUGAAUCAGAAUGUCACGGUGAAUACGUUCCCGGGCCGUU